rnacentral:lncRNA from 1 species
CUUGCUAAAUGAAUCUUCUAUUGAAGGUCCGUUAGAUGGAAGGUUGGAGUGAGAGUUAAGGUGGAGAAGAACGCUGUUUCAAUGGGAAGUAGAAACGAUUAUGCCAAAUACUAUCCGAGAUUGACGGAGAGGUUUGUCGAGAGACUAAGGGCCUGUUUGGUAAAAAUAAGCUAUAAGCUAGCUGAUAGCUGAUAAGCUAGCUGAUAGCUGAAAAGCUAGCUUAUAGCUGAUAGCUGAAAAGCUAGCUUAUUGAAAUUAAAGUGUUUGGUAAAAUUAGCUUUUNNNNNNNGCAUCUGAAAAAAAGCUAUAAGCUAGUACAAAAAGCUUGUUACCAAACACCUCUAAUUUUUUGAAACAAGCUUAUAAGCUCAUAUAAUAAGCUAUAAGCUAGCUUAUUUGUAUUACCAAACAGAGCCUAAGAGAUAGAUUGGUUUCGAAGGAGGAAAUUUCGGUGAUUUAUUUUCAAUAAGAUAAGAUUGGCUUAUAACUUAUAAGAGCUUGAUGAGGGAAGCAAAUAAGCGAUUGGAGCAGUUCAAUAC